rnacentral:rRNA from 1 species
AGAGUUUGAUCAUGGCUCAGGAUGAACGCUGGCGGCGUGCUUAACACAUGCAAGUCGAACGAACCUUCGGGUUAGUGGCGGACGGGUGAGUAACGCGUGAGAAUCUGCCCUCAGGAGGGGGAUAACGGUUGGAAACGACCGCUAAUACCCCAUAUGCCUACUGGUGAAACGAAUUUCGCCUGAGGAUGAGCUCGCGUCUGAUUAGCUAGUUGGUGAGGUAAUGGCUCACCAAGGCUUCGAUCAGUAGCUGGUCUGAGAGGAUGAUCAGCCACACUGGGACUGAGACACGGCCCAGACUCCUACGGGAGGCAGCAGUGGGGAAUUUUCCGCAAUGGGCGAAAGCCUGACGGAGCAACGCCGCGUGAGGGACGAAGGCCUCUGGGCUGUAAACCUCUUUUCUCAAGGAAGAAGAUAUGACGGUACUUGAGGAAUAAGCCACGGCUAAUUCCGUGCCAGCAGCCGCGGUAAUACGGGAGUGGCAAGCGUUAUCCGGAAUUAUUGGGCGUAAAGCGUCCGCAGGCGGCUUUUCAAGUCUGCUGUUAAAACGUGGAGCUUAACUCCAUCAUGGCAGUGGAAACUGAAAGGCUUGAGUAUGGUAGGGGCAGAGGGAAUUCCCGGUGUAGCGGUGAAAUGCGUAGAUAUCGGGAAGAACACCAGUGGCGAAGGCGCUCUGCUGGGCCAUUACUGACGCUCAUGGACGAAAGCCAGGGGAGCGAAAGGGAUUAGAUACCCCUGUAGUCCUGGCCGUAAACGAUGAACACUAGGUGUCGGGGGAAUCGACCCCUUCGGUGUCGUAGCUAACGCGUUAAGUGUUCCGCCUGGGGAGUACGCACGCAAGUGUGAAACUCAAAGGAAUUGACGGGGGCCCGCACAAGCGGUGGAGUAUGUGGUUUAAUUCGAUGCAACGCGAAGAACCUUACCAGGGUUUGACAUCCUGCGAACCUCUUAGAAAUUUGAGGGUGCCUUCGGGAAUGCAGUGACAGGUGGUGCAUGGCUGUCGUCAGCUCGUGUCGUGAGAUGUUGGGUUAAGUCCCGCAACGAGCGCAACCCACGUUUUUAGUUGCCAGCAUUUAGUUGGGCACUCUAGAAAGACCGCCGGUGAUAAACCGGAGGAAGGUGUGGAUGACGUCAAGUCAUCAUGCCCCUUACACCCUGGGCUACACACGUACUACAAUGCUACGGACAAAGGGCAGCAAACUCGCGAGAGCUAGCAAAUCCCAUAAACCGUGGCUCAGUUCAGAUCGUAGGCUGCAACUCGCCUACGUGAAGUAGGAAUCGCUAGUAAUCGCAGGUCAGCAUACUGCGGUGAAUACGUUCCCGGGCCUUGUACACACCGCCCGUCACACCAUGGAAGUUGGCCAUGCCCGAAGUCGUUACUCCAACCCUUGUGGAGGAGGACGCCGAAGGUGGGGCUAAUGACUGGGGUGAAGUCGUAACAAGGUAGCCGUA